rnacentral:lncRNA from 1 species
UCGUUCUUUCCCAACAUCAACCUCAGCCAGGAGCGAACGGUAUGCCUCCAGCAGAAAUCAUCUCUCUCCUUCAGAAUUUGUUGACUAAAUACUGUGCUUUGCAAUUUUCCCCUUCUGAAUUUGGGGUGAACCUCUUCCCUUUAGGUUUAAUGGUGUAUUAUUUGAGGUAGUUAGAUUACCCAAUUAAUGAAUGUGUGGAUGGAUGCAGAUACAUAUUCAGAAAAUACCAUCUCAGUGUAGUUAGCAUUUGAGAUUUUAGUUCCAUUUUUCUUGUUUUCAUGACACCAUAGAUGUGACACGUGAACCAUGUACAUUAUGUUUUUCAGGGUGCAUUCAUCCACAUACAUAUUGAGUUGGCAUCAAUCGAUGCAUUGUCUUAUUCACAUACUAGUAGUCGUAGAUUUUGUAGGCAAGCUCAUACUAGUAAAUGUGUGCUACGGAUUUGUAUUGAUUUGCAGACCUCUUUAAUGUCGAAUAAUUAGUGAAAUAUUUUGUCAAGUGGUGUAUGUUCCUUUGUCACAACGAAAGAAAAAAAAUCUUUUGAUGAACUGUGUUCACUAUAGUGCGAAGCAGUAUAAUUUUAAAUCUGAACAUAUUUUAGUUUGGUAUACUGUACAUGUUAAUUUGAUGGCCGGGGUAAACCUUUGAUUGAAUUGGUUCUUUUUCUGCAAUGCAGAUGGAUAGACAUUGGAUUCAUGGUACAUUGUUUUCCCGUGAGUACACUGAAGGUGUCAAAGAAUUUAUGAACUUCAUUCAAGAGAAAUUCAGCGAGGAUGAUAAAAUACUUUGCCCGUGUAGAGAAUGCCUUAAUCAUAAGUACCAGCAUCAGACCGUUGUGAACACGCACAUAUUGAUGUAUGGCAUGGAAAGUACAUAUACUCGUUGGAUAUAUCAUGGAGAAGACUUUGAUGCAGAUGUUAUUGAACAUCCUGUUGAUGUGCAUGACACCGAGGAUGGUGACAACGGCGCUGACCGAUUUGAAGAGAUGUUUGAAGACCUACGCACAGCAGUAGAACAAGCUCAGAGUGAAACUGAAAAUCAAGAUGCUAACAAUGGUGGAAACCCUUCUGAGAAUGAGUUUUUUUAAGGAUGUGAUGAAGGAGGCAAAAUGGCAGCUUUAUCAUGGUUGUACCAAGUUUUCAAGGUUCUCCUUUGUGGUAAAGCUUCUUCACUUGAAGUCAUACCAUAGGAUCCCGAAUAGUGCAUUUACUAAAAUUUUGAAGCUAUUAGCUGAAGCAUUCCCUGAACCCAAUACGCUCCCAAAAUCGUAUAAGGAAGCAAAGAACCUUCUAAAGGAAUUAGGCCUUGGGUAUGAGUCUAUACAUGUGUGCUUCAAUAAUUGCAUUCUGUUCAGAAAGCAAUAUGCCAAUCAUGACAAUUGCCCAGUUUGUGGCCUAUCAAGGUGGAAAGACCUUGCUAGAAAGAAGAUUCCACAGAAAGUGUUGAAGCAUUUUCCAUUGGUGCCUAGGCUAAAGAGGAUGUUUCUUUCCAAAAAAGGCGCAGAAGAAGCACAAUGGCAUGAGCUAAAGAGGCAGCCCAAUGAGAAGGAACUGAGUCAUCCAAAAGACGGUGAUGCGUGGAAAGAUUUCGAUGAAAAAUUUCCAGAAUUUGCAAAAGAUGCCAGAAACUUUAGGCUUGGCAUUGCCACUGAUGGGUUCAAUCCUUUUGGAAAUUUUAACACAACCUAUAGUAUGUGGCCUGUAUUUGUUAUACCAUACAACCUUCCACCUUGGGCAUGCAUGGAUCAGUCAAAUUUUAUGAUGGCUCUGCUGAUUCCAGGUCCCAAAUCACCUGGCAAGCACUUCGAUGUCUUUCUACAACCACUUGUGGAAGAAUUACUUGAGCUCUGGGAGGGUGUACGUACAUAUGAUGCUCUUAGUGGAAAAAUGUUUGAUCUUCAUGCUGCAGUUCUAUGGUGCAUUCACGAUUACCCAGCUCUGAGCACUCUUUCAGGGCGUACCACAAGAGGCUAUUUUGCAUGUAUUCAUUGUGACAAACACCCACUUUCUUACAGCCUAAGGAGUAAAAUUGGGUAUAUUGGUCACUAUCGUUUCCUUCCAAGGGGUCAUCGUUUGCGGAGAAACAAUGAAUUUGUUGGUCUUCAUGAAAGCAAUGAUGAGCCAGGUAAAUUCUCUGAGAAAGAGUUGCAAGCAGAAUUGGAGAAGGUUAGACCUGGGAGACAACAAGAAAGUAGAAAAAGGAAGCGUUCUGACUUGGGCAGCAAGAAGGAUCAUGUGCCAAUUUGGGGCCGGCGGGUUUGUUUGUGGGAUUUGAAGUAUUGGGUAAAGUUGAAGCUGAGACACAAUCUUGAUGUCAUGCAUAUUGAGAAAAACAUUUGUGAAAACCUCGUUGGGACAAUUCUGAAUCUAGAGGGUAAGACAAAGGACACACUUAAUGCUAGGAUUGAUCUCAAAGAUUUGAAUAUUAAAGAGGAGUUGCAAUUGAGGAAGGAGGGAGACUCAUAUGUGAUGCCUCGGGCCCGAUAUACCUUGUCCAAAGAACAAGUUGUUGCAUUUUGUCAAUUUUUACGAGAGUUAAAGUUUCCAGAUGGGUUUGCUUCCAACAUCUCAAGAUGCACAAGUGCUGAUGGAACCAAGGUACAAGGCCUGAAAACACAUGAUUGUCACAUUCUUCUGCAGAGAAUCUUACCUGCUGGCAUGAGAGGAUUUUUGGACAGUGAUAUAUAUGAAGCAAUAGCUGAGUUGGGCAAGUUUUUCAGAGAACUGUGCAGCAAAAUUCUUAAUAGGGAUGUCUUGGCCGAAAUGAAGAAGGAAAUCCCUGUAAUUUUGUGCAAGCUUGAGAAAAUUUUCCCGCCUGCAUUCUUUGAUGUGAUGGUGCACCUUGCCGUACAUUUACCUGAAGAGGCAUUGCUUUGAGGUCCCGUACAAUAUGGGUGGAUGUACCCAGUUGAAAGAAGGCUAUAUACUUUAAAGCGCUAUGUGAGGAAUAGGGCGCGACCAGAAGGUUCGAUUGCUGAGGCAUAUAUUGUAGAUGAAUGCCUGACAUUUUGCUCCAGGUACAUGGAUGAUGUUGAAACAAUAUUUAAUCGAAAACCAAGAAAUAUAGGUUAUUCAGAUAAAGAAGCCUAUGGUGUUGACGUUUUUGGGCAUGGAGUUAAUUUUACUUCAGGAUAUGACUAUGAAUAUGUGCAUGAGCAAAAAGAUUUUGACCAGAUGGUGUGGUAUGUGUUGAACAAUUGUGAUCAAGCUAAGAAAUAUAUCGAGUACGUUGUCACUUUUGAAACUUGUGCUUGUUGCAUUGUGUUGUACAUAUGUGAUCUCGAGACUAAUUUGUUUUAUUUUACAGUAUGUUCAGAGAUGAGUUAAAGAGAAAACGGUUGCCGGACAGUGAUAAAGAGCUUCAACAAAAAUUUCAGACAUGGUUCAGGAACUAUGUUAGUUUUCAUUCACAUCUAGUUAUAAUUUUUGGUUGUCAAAUUUCACUGCAGAUUCUAAUGUAUGUGUUUGUGUGCUGUUGCAGAUGAUGAGGCUGCGAGAUGAGGUUGGCGAAGAGGUAGAUGAAGAUCUAUUUUCCUUGGCAUGUGGUCCUGAUCGGAGAGUCUGGAAAUUCUCAUCGUGCAUAGUGAAUGGGAUUAGAUUUAGCACUGUUGCUCGUGAUAGCAACAAGAGGACGCAGAACAGUGGAGUCAUGACCGAAGGUGAACAUGACCGUAAGGUCAUAGAUUUUUAUGGAACCUUGAAAGAGAUCAUUCAGUUAGAUUAUAACUUGAAAGAUAGGUCAGUUGUUUUGUUUAAAUGUGACUGGUUUAAACUUGAUGGAAAGAAGACUGAACUUAAAAAUGAUGGUUUUUUCAAGAGCAUACAUGUUGGAAGUUUGUGGUACAAGGACGAUUCUUUGAUUCUGGCUACUCAGGCUAGUAAGGUCUUUUAUUUGCCGGACACGAAGUAUGGGAAAAAUUGGCAAGUUGUGCAAACAUUCGACCAUAGGCAUCUGUUCAAUAUUAGUGAAACUGAGGGUGUACCUUUUAGUGGUCCUGCAUAUCAAGAGGAGGAGUGUUGUGAAGAGGAGGAUAGGAGAACAUCAGUUUCUGACCAUACAUCUGAGAAGCCUUUGCAUAGAGAUGAUGAGCAAGGAAUUACUUUUGAAGCUGAUGUCGUUGCUCGUUUGAUGAAAGAAAAAUCCACAAAAGUGUAUGAAGGUGGUGACGAAGAUGAAGAAGAUGACACAGGUUUGGAGUAUUGCAGUGAAGACGAAGGAGGUGCCACAAUGGAUGUCGACAGCGAUGACAAGUAGAUGUUUUAGUGUAGAAGGUACUAUCUUCAUUCUUGUUGCAUAAUUUUUUCCUUUGCUACUGCAAUAUCCUGUUGCUGUUUACACACUACAUGCUUGUUCAGUAUAGUACAUGGGAGACUGAGGUGUUUAUGCACCACAAGUUUGUUCAGUUCAGUACAUCAUCUCUUUUUUGCAUAUGUACAGUUUGAAUGCACUUCUAAAUUUGAAAUAUUCGACAGGCGUUGCUGACAAGGCUGAGAAGGAGAUGCUGAAAAAAGGUUGUGCUGCAAGCUUAAGUUGGUCUGUACAGUGCUUUUGGCUCCUGUCAUCUACAAUGGUAGUAUCUGGAGUUUUAUUUUGUUUGCCUUGAUACGGCAAUGACCGGUGAUUCUUCUUGUGAUCCGUAACAGAGUUGUAUCUGGAGUUAUAUUUUGUUUGCCUUGAUAGGCCAAUGACCGCUGAUCCUUGUUGUGACCCGUAUCAGAGUUGUAUUUGGAGUUAUAUUUUGUUUGCCUUGAUUGGCCAAUGACCGCUGAUCCUUGUUGUGAUCCGUAUCAGAGUUAUAG